rnacentral:rRNA from 1 species
UACAGAGGUCUCAAGCGUUGUUCGGAUUCAUUGGGCGUAAAGGGUGCGUAGGUGGCGCCGUAAGUCGGGUGUGAAAUUUCAGAGCUUAACUCCGAAACUGCAUUCGAUACUGCGGUGCUUGAGGACUGGAGAGGAGACUGGAAUUCAUGGUGUAGCAGUGAAAUGCGUAGAGAUCAUGAGGAAGACCAGUGGCGAAGGCGGGUCUCUGGACAGUUCCUGACACUGAGGCACGAAGGCCAGGGGAGCAAACGGG